rnacentral:rRNA from 1 species
CAUCGCCACGGUAAUACGAAGGGGGCUAGCGUUGUUCGGAAUUACUGGGCGUAAAGGGCGCGUAGGCGGCCAUUCAAGUUAGAUGUGAAAGCCCUGGGCUCAACCUAGGAAUUGCAUUUGAUACUGUUUGGCUUGAGUUCGGGAGAGGUGAGUGGAAUUCCCAGUGUAGAGGUGAAAUUCGUAGAUAUUGGGAAGAACACCAGUGGCGAAGGCGGCUCACUGGACCGACACUGACGCUGAGGCGCGAAAGCGUGGGGAGCAAACAGGAUUAGAUACCCCCGUAGUCCCUGUCUCUUAUACA